GGAAUAUUGCACAAUGGGCGCAAGCCUGAUGCAGCGACGCCGCGUGGGUGAUGAAGGCUUUCGGGUCGUAAAACCCUUUUCUGUGUGACGAGCAAGGACGGUAGCACAGGAAUAAGCCUCGGCUAACUACGUGCCAGCAGCCGCGGUAAAACGUAGGAGGCGAGCGUUAUCCGGAGUUACUGGGCGUAAAGCGCGUGUAGGUGGUUGGAUACGUCUGCUGUGAAAUGUCCCGGCUUAACCGGGAGGGUGCGGCAGAUACGGUCUGACUUGAGGGCGACAGAGGAGCGUAGAAUUCCGGGUGUAGUGGUGAAAUGCGUAGAGAUCCGGAGGAAUACCAGUGGCGCAAGCGGCGCUCUGGGUCGCAACUGACACUGAGACGCGAAGGCAUGGGGAGCGA
rnacentral:rRNA from 1 species